rnacentral:rRNA from 1 species
CGACCCCAGGUACAGAGGGG